rnacentral:piRNA from 1 species
AGGGCAAGAUGGCCAUUCCACUG